rnacentral:rRNA from 1 species
AUGGGAAGAGGAAAAGGAAAUCCGACGGGUUGGAUUGCUCGUGUGUCCACGGGACAAAUCCCAUUUGAAAUGGAUGGUGUGAGUUUGUCAAAUGCUCGGCAAGCCGCUAGAUUAGCGGCGCAUAAACCAUGUUCGUCAACCAAGUUUGUUCAGUGGUCGUAA